CCUACGGGGGGUAGCAGUGAGGAAUAUUGGUCAAUGGACGAGAGUCUGAACCAGCCAAGUAGCGUGAAGGAUGACUGCCCUAUGGGUUGUAAACUUCUUUUAUAUGGGAAUAAAAUGUUCCACGUGUGGGAUUUUGUAUGUACCAUAUGAAUAAGGAUCGGCUAACUCCGUGCCAGCAGCCGCGGUAAUACGGAGGAUCCGAGCGUUAUCCGGAUUUAUUGGGUUUAAAGGGAGCGUAGGUGGAUUGUUAAGUCAGUUGUGAAAGUUUGCGGAUCAACCGUAAAAUUGCAGUUGAAACUGGCAGUCUUGAGUACAGUAGAGGUGGGCGGAAUUCGUGGUGUAGCGGUGAAAUGCUUAGAUAUCACGAAGAACUCCGAUUGCGAAGGCAGUUCACUGGACUGCAACUGACACUGAGGCUCGAAAGUGUGGGUAUCAAACAGGAUUAGAUACCCCAGUAGUC
rnacentral:rRNA from 1 species